GAUGAACGCUGGCGGCGUGCCUAAUACAUGCAAGUCGAGCGAACAGACGAGGAGCUUGCUCCUCUGACGUUAGCGGCGGACGGGUGAGUAACACGUGGAUAACCUACCUAUAAGACUGGGAUAACUUCGGGAAACCGGAGCUAAUACCGGAUAAUAUAUUGAACCGCAUGGUUCAAUAGUGAAAGACGGUUUUGCUGUCACUUAUAGAUGGAUCCGCGCCGCAUUAGCUAGUUGGUAAGGUAACGGCUUACCAAGGCAACGAUGCGUAGCCGACCUGAGAGGGUGAGCGGCCACACUGGAACUGAGACACGGUCCAGACUCCUACGGGAGGCAGCAGUAGGGAAUCUUCCGCAAUGGGCGAAAGCCUGACGGAGCAACGCCGCGUGAGUGAUGAAGGUCUUCGGAUCGUAAAACUCUGUUAUUAGGGAAGAACAAAUGUGUAAGUAACUAUGCACGCCUUGACGGUACCUAAUCAGAAAGCCACGGCUAACUACGUG
rnacentral:rRNA from 1 species